GAUGAACGCUGGCGUCGUGCCUAAUACAUGCAAGUCGAGCGAACGGACGAGAAGCUUGCUUCUCUGAUGUUAGCGGCGGACGUGUGAGUAACACGUGGAUAACCUACCUAUAAGACUGGGAUAACUUCGGGAAACCGGAGCUAAUACCGGAUGAUAUUUUGAACCGCAUGGUUCAAAAGUGAAAGACGGUCUUGCUGUCACUUAUAGAUGGAUCCGCGCUGCAUUAGCUAGUUGGUAAGGUAACGGCUUACCAAGGCAACGAUGCAUAGCCGACCUGAGAGGGUGAUCGGCCACACUGGAACUGAGACACGGUCCAGACUCCUACGGGAGGCAGCAGUAGGGAAUCUUCCGCAAUGGGCGAAAGCCUGACGGAGCAACGCCGCGUGAGUGAUGAAGGUCUUCGGAUCGUAAAACUCUGUUAUUAGGGAAGAACAUAUGUGUAAGUAACUGUGCACAUCUUGACGGUACCUAAUCAGAAAGCCACGGCUAACUACGUG
rnacentral:rRNA from 1 species